ACUGUGCUGGUGUUCAGUAGACAGUAGCUACUAGAAUUUUGAUUGGGUCAUAGAUACAGAUUUAAUGAUCCUCGAAGGAGAGGUUACUGAGGAUGGUAAUGGAAUGUGAGGUUAAAAGAAGGGAGCUAGAUUUCAGUGAGUACAAGAAGAUGGAAGGAAUGGAAAAGGAAAAGAUUUAAGAUGAAGCCAAGUUUGUUACCUAUGGAGCAUGCAUUCCAGAAAGCCCAGUGGAAGAGACUUAGAAGAUAAUGUUGGACAUUCUAGGAAAAGGAGACAGAAAGCUGAUCCAGGCAAGCUAAAUGUAGCAGAGUGUUAUUGCACCAUAAGAAAUGAUGAAAGGGACUAUGUCAACAGUAUUCUGGGUACUAUGAACUAAUGGAGAAUGAAGCAAGCCAACCCAGGGGAAUAAUUUGCUCAAGGAUAACAACAUUGUAAAGAAAAACAACUUUAAAAGACUUAAGAAUGCUGAUCGAUGCAGAGACCAACAAUGUUUCCAGAGGACCUUUGGUGAAGCAUGUUAUCUACCUCUUGACAGAGAGGGGAUAGACUCAAAGUGAUGAAAGAAAUAUUUGGGAAUGGCCAACAUGUGGAUUCACUUUGCCCAACCAUGUUUCUUUGUUACAAAGUUCCCCCCCUCCAACAUUUUUAAAAGUUGAGGUGGUGGGAAAAGGUUAGAAACAAUAAUGAAAACAACAAAAAAGGGCCUUUUAAUAUUAAAAAAAAAUUCACAGAAGGGAACAAAAAAGUUCAGAAGGAAGCAUAAAGAAGGAAGCAUAAAUAAG